GAUGUUGCAUGUGUUAAUCAUUGGCUGUCAUGUAACACGCACGCACGCAGGAAAGACAGAAGAACCUUUCUGUCCAUGUACAUGCUCAUAAGCAUGCAGUCUUGCAGGCACACUUGCAUACAUCAUCUUCAGACAUGUGCUCCCUAGAGUUUGUCUCAUAUUGCCCUUUGGCUGAUACGUCGGAACAGACGUAUCUCUAGCUGGGACGAGAGGGCUCCGAAGCACAGCUGUCUGGAGGUAAAGCAGGUAGAUAAUGCGUCAAGCACAGGACUGUUUGGACUACCAGCUUUGGAACCAUGUCAUUCCAAAAAUAAAUAAAUAAAUAAAAAAA